UAAGCUCUCAAACACAUUCAAACCUCUCUUAAGAACACAAGGUUUGCCCUUUCACUUCUUUCUUCAAUCAAACUACUUACUGAGAUAUUAGCAAUGAUCAUCAGCUAAAACAUAUCAUAUAUACACUACUUGUAGCAAUUCUCGACUCUCCAAAAAGAUACAAAAUUCCCUCUUUUUAAGUCUGCUAUGUUUUGUGACUCUGGAGGCGACUUAGCUUCCUUCUAUGUACACUUAAUUUUUAUGAGUUCUAGGCCAUAGCAGGGAUACUGGAAUUUUGGCGAUCCCUAUUGAGGCAAUCAAAUCCUUC
rnacentral:misc_RNA from 1 species